rnacentral:rRNA from 1 species
CCUACGGGUGUCAGCAGUGGGGGAUAUUGGACAAUGGGGGAAACCCUGAUCCAGCGACGCCGCGUGAGUGAAGAAGUAUUUAGGUAUGUAAAGCUCUAUCUGCAGGGAAGAAAGAACUGACGGUACCUGAGUAAGAAGCCCCUGCUAACUACGUGCCAGCAGCCGCUGUAAUACGUAGGGGGCAAGCGUUAUCCGGAAUUACUGGGUGUAAAGGGAGCGUAGACGGUAAGGCAAGUCUGGAGUGAAAGGCGGGGGCCCAACACCCGGACUGCUCUGGAAACUGUGUACCUGGAGUGCAGGAGAGGAAGGCGGAAUUCCUGGUGUAGCGGUGAAAUGCGUAGAUAUUA